AGUGUGGGCAGCCGGGACAUAUGAUUCGUGAUUGCCUGAGGGGAGCAUCACCUGCACAGUCCACAGCUUCAGUCCAGUCACCCUCCAGACAGCGUUCUGGUCUACCACCUGCUAUGUCAGCUGGACGUACUUUUGUGCCGCGUCAGUACGAGCCAUCUCGAUCUGCAUCGAGUACCCGUAUGGACGCACCUCGAUCUGCACCGAGUGGUCGUGUAUUUGCAGCCCAGGCAGAGGAGCCGGCCGUAGUUGAUGACGUCGUGGCAGGUAUUGUUUUACUUUAUGGCACUAGAUCUCGUGCAUUAUUUGACACAGGUGCAUCGCAUUCAUUCAUCAGUAGUUCAUUUGCUAAGACGCAUGACAUUGAGAUUUCGGAUAGUGCUGAUGCCUGGUGGGUAUAUGCCCCUGAGCACACAUUUAGUGUCCAUGAAGUGUGUGCGGCAUGUCCAGUACAGAUUGGUGAUUGGAUUAUGCCAGCAGAUCUGUUAGUG
rnacentral:lncRNA from 1 species